rnacentral:rRNA from 1 species
UACGAAGGGGGCUAGCGUUGCUCGGAAUCACUGGGCGUAAAGCGCACGUAGGCGGAUUGCUAAGUCAGGGGUGAAAUCCUGGAGCUCAACUCCAGAACUGCCUUUGAUACUGGCAACCUUGAGUCCGGGAGAGGUGAGUGGAACUGCGAGUGUAGAGGUGAAAUUCGUAGAUAUUCGCAAGAACACCAGUGGCGAAGGCGGCUCACUGGCCCGGUACUGACGCUGAGGUGCGAAAGCGUGGUGAGCAAACAGG